UCCCUCUUAGCUCAGUGGUAGAGCGCUUCACUAGUAUGGUAUGUUCGAAUAGCCCUAAGAUUCUUACGAUGAAGAGGUCAGUCGUUCAAGUCGGCUAGAGGGAA